GUCCACGCCCUAAACGAUGAACACUAGGUGUGGGGUGCAUAGCAUUCCGUGCCGCAGCUAACGCAAUAAGUGUUCCACCUGGGGAGUACGGCCGCAAGGUUGAAACUCAAAGGAAUUGACGGGAGCCCGCACAAGCAGUGGAGUAUGUGGUUUAAUUCGACGCAACGCGAAAAACCUUACCAAGGAUUGACAUCCCGAGAAGUCGGCGUAAUGGCUGAUGUGCCUCUUCGGAGGAACUCGGUGACAGGUGGUGCAUGGUUGUCGU
rnacentral:rRNA from 1 species